AAUAUCGAGUCACGUGCUCGUCUCCCUCGCGCAUGAGAGAUCUUACUAAUGUGGGAGCGGUGUAAAAAAUUGAAACUUUAUACUUAUCAACGAUAUCCCAACAACGUCCUGCAUCUGGAUAAUUCGGAGCCCCUUCAAAAACCACAUUUGUUGCUCCAUUCAGUAAAGGUCCGUAUGUAACAUAACUAUGACCGGUAAUCCAACCGCAGUCAGCUGUACACCAAUAAAUGUCUUUUGGUUUGUAGUCAAAUGCAUACUUGAAU
rnacentral:misc_RNA from 1 species